rnacentral:rRNA from 1 species
UACGUAGGGUGCAAGCGUUAAUCGGAAUUACUGGGCGUAAAGCGUGCGCAGGCGGUUUUGUAAGACUGCCGUGAAAUCCCCGGGCUCAACCUGGGAAUGGCGAUGGUGACUGCAAGGCUAGAGUUUGGCAGAGGGGGGUAGAAUUCCACGUGUAGCAGUGAAAUGCGUAGAUAUGUGGAGGAAUACCGAUGGCGAAGGCAGCCCCCUGGGAUAACACUGACGCUCAUGCACGAAAGCGUGGGGAGCAAACAGG